GACGAACGCUGGCGGCGUGCUUAACACAUGCAAGUCGAACGGAAAGGCCCUGCUUUUGUGGGGUGCUCGAGUGGCGAACGGGUGAGUAACACGUGAGUAACCUGCCCUUGACUUUGGGAUAACUUCAGGAAACUGGGGCUAAUACCGGAUAGGAGCUCCUGCUGCAUGGUGGGGGUUGGAAAGUUUCGGCGGUUGGGGAUGGACUCGCGGCUUAUCAGCUUGUUGGUGGGGUAGUGGCUUACCAAGGCUUUGACGGGUAGCCGGCCUGAGAGGGUGACCGGCCACAUUGCGACUGAGAUACGGCCCAGACUACUACGGUAGGCAGCAGUGGGGAAUAUUGCACAAUGGGCGGAAGCCUGAUGCAGCAACGCCGCGUGCGGGAUGACGGCCUUCGGGUUGUAAACCGCUUUCGCCUGUGACGAAGCGUGAGUGACGGUAAUGGGUAAAGAAGCACCGGCUAACUACGUG
rnacentral:rRNA from 1 species